rnacentral:rRNA from 1 species
CUGAUGGCGAGUGGCGAACGGGUGAGUAAUAUAUCGGAACGUGCCCUAGAGUGGGGGAUAACUAGUCGAAAGACUAGCUAAUACCGCAUACGAUCUACGGAUGAAAGUGGGGGAUCGCAAGACCUCAUGCUCCUGGAGCGGCCGAUAUCUGAUUAGCUAGUUGGUGGGGUAAAAGCCUACCAAGGCGACGAUCAGUAGCUGGUCUGAGAGGACGACCAGCCACACUGGGACUGAGACACGGCCCAGACUCCUACGGGAGGCAGCAGUGGGGAAUUUUGGACAAUGGGGGCAACCCUGAUCCAGCAAUGCCGCGUGAGUGAAGAAGGCCUUCGGGUUGUAAAGCUCUUUUGUCAGGGAAGAAACGGUAGUAGCUAAUAUCUAUUACUAAUGACGGUACCUGAAGAAUAAGCACCGGCUAACUACGUGCCAGCAGCCGCGGUAAUACGUAGGGUGCAAGCGUUAAUCGGAAUUACUGGGCGUAAAGCGUGCGCAGGCGGUUGUGUAAGUCAGAUGUGAAAUCCCCGGGCUCAACCUGGGAAUUGCAUUUGAGACUGCACGGCUAGAGUGUGUCAGAGGGGGGUAGAAUUCCACGUGUAGCAGUGAAAUGCGUAGAUAUGUGGAGGAAUACCGAUGGCGAAGGCAGCCCCCUGGGAUAACACUGACGCUCAUGCACGAAAGCGUGGGGAGCAAACAGGAUUAG